GCGCUCCUGAGUUCUUUGGUGGCGUUCCAACCUGGCCCUUCUUCUUUCUUCAGUCUCCCCUGCAAUGUCUUGGAAAUCUCCAGAUUGUCCAGUUCCGGCAGCUUUUUGAAAAUAGAAGUUGGACAGAGUACUUCAGCCAGUUUCCAGAAAAGAUAACAGCUGAUGUAGCAUGGAUAGACAUUCAAAGUUGAUCACAUAGCUCUACCUC
rnacentral:lncRNA from 1 species